UGCAGUUAAAAAGCUCGUAGUUGGAUUUCAGAGUGGGCCAGUUGGUCCGCCGCAAGGUGUGUUACUGACUGGUUUGCUCUUCUUCGCAAAGACUGCGAGUGCUCUUCGUUGAGUGUGCGUAGGAUUUACGACGUUUACUUUGAAAAAAUUAGAGUGUUCAAAGCAGGCUAUUGCUUGAAUACAUGAGCAUGGAAUAACGGAAUAGGACUUUGGUCCCAUUUUGUUGGUUUCUAGGACCGAAGUAAUGAUUAAGAGGGACAAUUGGGGGCAUCCGUAUUUCGUUGUCAGAGGUGAAAUUCU
rnacentral:rRNA from 1 species